CUGGUAGAUACAGGUCUGUCCAUCUGGUAUUACCCGCCAGAUACAGGUCUGUCCAUCUGGUAGAUACAGGUCUGUAUUAACCACCAGAUACAGGUCUGUCCAUCUGGUAGAUACAGG